rnacentral:rRNA from 1 species
CGGAACGGGUGAGUAACGCGUGAGGAACCUGCCUCAAAGGAGGGGACAACAGUUGGAAACGACUGCUAAUACCGCAUAAGCCCACGGCUCGGCAUCGAGCAGAGGGAAAGGAGCAAUCCGCUUUGAGAUGGCCUCGCGUCCGAUUAGCUAGUUGGUGAGGUAACGGCCCACCAAGGCGACGAUCGGUAGCCGGACUGAGAGGUUGAACGGCCACAUUGGGACUGAGACACGGCCCAG